GCAUAUCAAUAAGCGGAGGAAAAGAAAAUAACAAUGAUUCCCUUAGUAACGGCGAGUGAAGGGGGAUAAGCUCAAAUUUUAAAUCUACCAGGUUAACCUGGUCGAGUUGUAAUUUGAAGAAGCGUUUUCCGCGUUCGGGUCGGCCCAAAUCCUUUGGGAUAAGGUAUCAUGGAGGGUGAGAAUCCCGUUCGGCUGACCUUAGGAUGCUUUACGAUACGCUCUCAAAGAGUCGAGUUGUUUGGGAUUGCAGCUCAAAAUGGGAGGUAAAUUUCUCCUAAGGCUAAAUACCGGCGAGAGACCGAUAGCGAACAAGUACCGUGAGGGAAAGAUGAAAAGAACUUUGAAAAGAGAGUUAAAUAGUACGUGAAAUUGUUGAAAGGGAAACGAUUGAAGUCAGUCGUACCGGCGGGAAAUCAGCUUUUCGAGUGGGGGUUCGCGGGUGCGUGGAGCUUCGGCCUUCGUCGCUUGUGACACCUUUUGCUUCUGGAGCGUACUUUUCCGUGUGGUAGGUCAACAUCGGUUUCGAUUGCCAUAAAAUGACCGGAGGAAUGUGGCUUCGAUCUUGUAUUGGAGUGUUAUAGCCUCUGGUAGAUGUGGUGGUUGGGAUCGAGGAUUGCAACGAAUACCCUUUGGGCUAUCCGCCUGACCUCUGAAAGUCGCUUGGGUACCGAAAGCUUGCUUACAGUCAUUCAAGUUGGCGGUCAAAAGGUUAGAACGUGAUUAAAUUCGUUAAGGAUGUUGACGUA
rnacentral:rRNA from 1 species